rnacentral:lncRNA from 1 species
AUAUUCUUGAGUGUACGUUAAAUCUUCACCCACAUUCGACUCCACUGCACUUCCUCCUCUCAGAGGAAACCUGGCAGAGGAUCUUACCUUUAUGUGUGGCCUUUCCUUUGGGACUUGUUUCCCUCACUGCCAACGUUAAAAGAGGACAUUGGACUUGGGCACUACUACUACUUGCUGAAUGUUGAAGAUGAUCCCUCUCCACCAAAGGCUUUCUGCUGAAGUAUUGCUGCUGUCUACC